rnacentral:tRNA from 1 species
UGGGGUGUAGCCAAGUGGUAAGGCAAAGGACUUUGACUCCUUGAUCGUUGGUUCAAUCCCAGCCACCCCAGCCA